UACGAAGGGUGCUAGCGUUGUUCGGAAUUACUGGGCGUAAAGCGCGCGUAGGCGGCUAUUCAAGUCAGAGGUGAAAUCCCUGGGCUCAACCCAGGAAUUGCCUUUGAAACUGUAUAGCGUGAGUGUCGGAGGGGAUAGCGGAAUUGCUAAUGUAGAGGUGAAAUUCGUAGAUAUUAGCAGGAACACCGGUGGCGAAGGCGGCUAUCUGGACGACAACUGACGCUGAGGCGCGAAAGCACGGGGAUCAAACAGG
rnacentral:rRNA from 1 species